ensembl:lncRNA
UACACUUUGUGGUGUGAGUACAUUGAAACAUUAUAUUGAACAUUUUUGCUUUUGUAUUUUUUACUUGUUACAAAUGGUGCAGCUUUUCAUAUUUGACAAUGUACAAAAUAUAUAUUUGUGACAGAGCUGAAUAUUUACCGCAAACAUCCAAAGAAAGAUGACAAAUAGAUUAUUAGUGUAAUUCUUAGUUUUAUCUGAAUCUUUGCAUUGAGUCUGGUGAGAUUUAUGCUUUCUUCUUGUGCAUUGUGUGUUAGGAUCACAGAGAUGUGGGAUGUGUGUGUGUGUGUGUGUGUGUGUCCUCCUUGGGAAUAAUAUGAAUUUCAUGGUGGCUGGAUGCUUUUAGAGGAGUGACCCGUCCUAAAGUAGGCUAGUAGUGCAAUGCCUCCAGCAUGGGCCGACCACUCAAUGUGUGUGUGUGUGUGUGUGUGUGUGUGUGUGUGUGUGUGUGUGUGUGUGUGUGUGUGCGCGCGUAAAAUGGUAGUCAAGGCAUUUCCCUUCUUCCUUUGUCUGCUGCUGUGACUGACACACAAGCACACACACCUACAUGUGACAUCACGACAGCUGUUGGAGUCGAUCAGAUGGACCUGGAUGGACUGUGAAAGUGUUAGAAGGGUUCCCUUCUGUGACAGCUUCCAGCAAAUAAAGUGCAGGCAUGAGUACAAUAGACAGAAGUAUAUCUGUCAAAUACAGGACAGACCGUAAUAUGAAUAUAAGGUUCAUCUCACAAAUGUGAUAAAACGAAGAAAAAGCUCCAUUAAAGUAAAGUACCAGAGUGAACGCAGCUUAUUUCCACCAGCGACACACAACUCAUUCACCAAUGGAAGACAUUGUCCUGAAGUGCUUUAUGGGUAAUUAACUCACCCCACCCUCCCCCAUCACCCUGUGUGACUCCCCCGUCACUAUUGUGGAUUUCUUCCGUCUCCUGGGCUCCAUCAUCACCCAGGACCUCAAGUGGGAGCUGAACAUCAGCUCCAUCACCAAGAAGGCUCAGCAGAGGUUGUUCUUCCUGAGGCAGCUGAAGAAACUCAACCUGCCAAAGACGAUGAUGGUCCACUUCUACACGGCCAUCAUGGAGUCCAUCCUCUGCUCCUCCAUCAGCGUCUGGUACGCUGCAGCCACAGCCAAGGACAAGGGCAGGCUGCAGCGUGUCAUCCGCUCUGCAGAGAGGCUGAUCGGCUGCAAUCUCAUUUUAAACAUGUUUAACUUUAACGUUUAUUCCUUUAUUUUAAACUAACCCAUAGCUUCACACUACUAACCCAUAGCCUUACACUACUAACCCAUUAUUUUAUUCCUUGUGCACUGCUGUCUUGUCGUCCAUUGUCGUACUGUCUGCUGUUACGCUCCAACCGCCAAGUCACAUUCCUUGUAUGUCUGAUAUUAUGGCGAUAAAUGUUUCCUGAUUCCUGAUCAAAAGAUACAAUAUUUAUAUAAACAUAUUCAUCAAUAUCAGCUUUAUUUGUUAAAUACGUGUAUUAAUAUAAUUUACUGUACUUACUACAGAAAUAUAAAACAGUGGAAUGCUUAAAAAUGACAUUAUAAAUAUUUUUGUCUUCUAUAGAUCCGAUUGGCUGGAUCAUUAUUAUCACCUUCAGACCACUAGAUGGAGAUAAAGACCUGAGGAUCAUCCAGAGCAGCUGAUAGAAGAGCACCUACACACACACACACACACACACACACACACACACACACACACACACACACAUACACACACACACACACACACACACACACACAUUUACACACAUGGCCAGUAAACAUGAGUAGAUAUUUUGAUACUGUAAUGUGAACCUCUCCGUCUCUACUCACCAUCUGCCACACACACACACACACACACACACAAACACGCGUGCACGCACACACACACACACCCGUGCACGCACACACACACACAUGCCCCCCCCCCCCACACGCAUACACACUUUUCAUUUUUCCAUCCCUUGUCUCCAGUUCCCUCCUUCUGUCUCUCCUCACCGUCUCACUUUCUCUGUCUCUCACACACACACACACACACACACACCAACACACACACACACACACACACAGACACACACACAGACACACACCUACGGUGCCUGACACAGUAGCAUCUGGCGUCUUUCUGCUGCCGUCUUUCUGCUGCCGCCUCCCUCCUGAGACUCCUAUGAUGCGUCCUCCUCUGAACUUGCAGCUUCUCACCUGCAGAGCUCGUGUGAUCCACCUGCUUUUUAUUAAAAGGCUUAUUUUGUCAUUCAGCUAAACCUUGAAUUUAUGCCAGAAUUGAAACUUUAAAACGUCUUUCAUCCGCUGCUGAAAACUUCCAUUUUAUUUUAGCUGAUGGAAUAAGGAACAAAAAUACAAUCUUCUUACCACACUUUAAGUUUAUGGAAAGCUCGAAAUGAAUGUUUUUUCACUGUAACCCAGGUCAAAAAAAGAGGUGAAGACAGAAAAUACUGACUAAUAAUCAUAACGAAGCUCCAUAACAUCUGGUGGAGACUAACGUCGUGUGUGACGACCCUAAGCUACCCAAGCUAAGCUCAAAGAACCGAUUCUUUAAUAUUUUAAUGUGCAUGUGACGAGGCCCUGCGAUUGGCGGGCGACCGAUCCGACGUGGACCCCGUCUCUCGCCCGGAGUGACCCCGGCCCCCCGGCGACCCUGUAUGAAGGAUAAGACGAGCCUGCAUUGUUUUCUGCCUUUGGUAAGACUUGUUUUCACCCACAUGUUGGAUGUCUGGAGGAACUUUUUUUGCCAUUUUUUUUUUCUCAAGGGGCCGGACUUAACAAAGGGCCCAUGAGCACAAAAAGUGCAGGAUCAUCUCGUCAAGUAGCAAGCAUCGCCUCUUGAGGUGCAGUCAGUGUCCUGCCGCCUGUUGAAAUACGGCGACCUUUGACCCGGGGAACUCAGACCACAUCCCCACAUUGACGUCCGUCCCCCUGGAGGGAAACAUCCAACAUGGCAGCGUGCGCACAGAUCCUGGCCGUCCUACAAAGCGAAGCAAAGGAAGACGGGGAAGAGGGACGGAUGUGGAAAAGGGGGGAGUUCACACACACACACACACACACAGUGAGUACUGAUGAAAGAUACGCUGGAAAAAGCUGCAGAGAACAGAGCCCGACAGGUGGAAACCAUUAACCGCCGCAUGGAAAGUCAAACAGCACUGUGCGUGCAGGUGUGUGUGUGUCUGUGUGUGUGUGCAGGUGUGUGUGUGUCUGUGUGUGCGUGCAGGUGUGUGUGUGUGUCUGUGCGUGCGUGCAGGUGUGCGUAUGUCUGUGUGCAUGCAGGUGUGUCUGUGUGUGUCUGUGUGUGCGUGCAGGUGUGUGUGUGUGCGUCUGUGUGUGCGUGCAGGUGACAAUCACAGGAAACCAUUUAAAGCUGACGUAUCACCUGAGACACUCUGUGCCCCCCCGCCGCAAUUCACAAAACUCCACCCACCGGCUGCACCCCGCAGCUCAAAACAAACCCCCCCUUUGAAGCUCUUUGUAUCUAAUUUAAUAUUGACAUUUUGUAAAAGAACAGUUUUUUUUGCGUAUUAAUCUCUUUAUCUUGAUUAAUGUGACAGAGGAGAAAGUUGUUGGUUCCGACGUCAUUUGGAGGGAAGUGAUGAAAUAAAGAAGCAGGAGGCCGUUCACACAGAUGAAAUCUGAGGGUCUUGAUGGAUUAAUGUCUCGCUGCGCAGAUAAUUCAACCAGGAUGUUUUCUGUCCCCGUUUUUGAUGAUUUUAAUGCGCCUCCGUGACAGCCGGCCUCGUCAUGCAGCGUUUACGAGAAGCAGCGAGAAGACGUUUUUAUAAAUUAGAGGGCGAGUCGCCCCCUGCUGGUCACUACAGGGAAUGCAUGAUACUUUGUUUUUGACCGACCAAGAAACACUUUCAGUGUAAAAUAUGAGUUGAUGAAUGAAAGAAUGUGAUGACUCAUUGGAAAUAACCCCGUGAGACUUCCUCAGUUUUCCUUCCCCCCCCCCCCGUCUGGGUGAUGGAUGACCUCCUCGGAGGGGCUUCCUGUGCCGUUUGGGAAGUCGUUAGGGCCGAGCUGGAUUCCUUUUUUUCGAACAUAUGUGUGAUUUGUGUGGCAUCGGCGGUCGGACUGGAUGACGGGGAGAAGGUGAAGUGAACUAGGAAGCAGCGCUGUGCUUCUUGGCUCAUUGGUCUGAUGGUAACGAUGGGAAAGGGAAAGAAAGUUGAUGACGGAGAUCUUAUCAGCUGGGAAAAACCAGACUCUCAGGGGUUGGUUUAGUUCCGUCAUUUUCUCUCCUUCUUUCUUCUCUCCAUUUCUUUUUCUCCCUCAUUCCUCCUCAUGUCGUCCUCCUUUCCUUCUCCCUUUUUCAUCUUUCAGAUUCGUCAUUUUCUCUUGUCUUUCUCUCCAUCGAUCCUCCGUCUUUCUCCCCUGAUUUCAUUCAUUCUGGCUCCUGUCUCGUUCCCUUCUUUGUCUGGCAUCCCUCCCUCAUUAUUCUCCCCCCCCGCCCCCCCAUC